CUCUGCCCCUAGUGAUGGAGAGGGAAGCAGCCCCUUGUAUUUCUCCAGGUUCUCUACCACCCUGUGUGCUACUGUUAAAGGUAACUCAGAAACAAGUACACACUUGAGGUCAACAAUGUUAGAGUUAUGGCUUAAUGCUUUACUCUAGUCUCGAUCCCAAGUACAGUAGUUGGAAGUUUCAAAAUGUCUUACUGUGGAUCUGACUCUUCCCUUCCCACCUCAUAGUGGACGUGUUCUUGAUAGUGUCUCCAGCGGUGGCGCCGUGCUGCUACAGCCGGGUUCUGUCUGUGUGUGAGGGCAGAGGGUUCAGUCUGAGGGGGGUCCAGAGGCUGCAGCUCCCCACCAAACGAACCCAGGCACUGGGACUCACCAGUCAGCAGGUGUCAGUGUUCUACAGUCCGCCCACUGUUACUGUGGAUGAGAAGAAGGUUGAGCUGUCUUCCCACUGCCUGGUCUUACUUCUGAGGAGAGAGAGUGGCCUGCGUCACUGUGCCAGCCUGCCUGCAGCCCUUAUGAAAGAGUUGGAGACACAGAGGUUGUUGGGAUGUAUCCACAUCAGACUGUCAGAUGAAGGAAAGCUGGACCCGAGCAGCUGCUUUCACAUGUUGCCCUACAGAGAGAGCCUGCUCCAUAGCUUUGGUGGGCGAAUGUGGGCCGUACCCAACCCCUGCAAUGUGGUGCUGUCCAAUCACAGGUGUCCAUCCAACCCAGAGCUGGAGCAGGUGGUGGUGCUUACGCUGGCUGGAAGGGACAUCAGUCAGGGCCUGAGCCUGCUACACAGGCUCUGGACAGGGGACACAACAGGCGAUGUCGUGGAGGAUGGAUUCGAGCUGCUGGCCCUGAAGUGGCUGCCCACAUUGUCCCGGCAGCAGGCGCGGGAGGUGAGCCCCUAUGAGGUAGGAGACCGGCUGUGGCAGAGCAGCCUGGUGGGCCUGGCCUCCUCCCCUGCCCUGGUGUGUGCUCUGAGGAGGGUAGAUGCCUUCGCCACCCUACGGCGGCUCCUGCCACAGGACUACCCCGGGAACCUGAACAUACUGUUGUCUCCCACUCCUGAACUGGCCUUCAGACAAGCGUCCCUCUUCUUCUCCCUGGGAGACAUGAUCCCUGGUAAAAAAAAAACUAGUCAGUGCAAGCUAGGUACUAUUUCACUGUACCCUAUAUCUGGGGCAAACAUGUCAAGGAUAGCUAUGUGGAUUUUCUCUCAUCUUCAGAUCACAGUGUGCGCCCAUUACUGA
rnacentral:lncRNA from 1 species